GUACACUAACUGGAGCAACCCGCGCCGUCACCCGAUCACCGUGCGGGACGAGACGCUGGCGGCGCUGAGCGACGCGGCGUUCGUGGCGCCGGCGACGGCGGAGGCCGACCGACACGUCGCGGCUGGUUCUGGCGGUGGCCACAGACACAACACCUUCUUCUACGUCUUCAGCUACGUCGGGGAUGUCGGUGAAGCGGCGAAGCGUCUGGGUAGUGUACACGGCUCGGAGCUGCCGUACGUGUUCGGUGACCCGCUGCUGCCGGCGGCGGAGACGGGCAUCCGCUACACGUCCGGCCAGGCCGACCUCAGCCGCGCGGUCGUCGCUCUCUGGACCAACUUCGCCAAGACCGGGGACCCGAACGGGCCACGGCCGGAGGCGCGCGCCGCUCCUAGCGGCCGGGAGCGGAGCCGAUACAGAGCCGUCACCUGGCCGCCCUACAACGCCAC